rnacentral:rRNA from 1 species
GAUGAACGCUGGCGGCGUGCCUAAUACAUGCAAGUCGAGCGAACAGACGAGGAGCUUGCUCCUUUGACGUUAGCGGCGGACGGGUGAGUAACACGUAGGUAACCUACCUAUAAGACUGGGAUAACUUCGGGAAACCGGAGCUAAUACCGGAUAAUAUUUCGAACCGCAUGGUUCGAUAGUGAAAGAUGGCUUUGCUAUCACUUAUAGAUGGACCUGCGCCGUAUUAGCUAGUUGGUAAGGUAACGGCUUACCAAGGCAACGAUACGUAGCCGAACUGAGAGGGUGGAUGGCCACACUGGACCUGCGACACGAUCCAGACUCCUACGGGAGGCAGCAGUAGGGAAUCUUCCGCACUGGGCGAAAGCCUGACGGAGGAACGCCGCGUGAGUGAUGAAGGUCGUCGGAUCGUAAAACUCUGUUAUAAGGGAAGAACAAACGUGUAAGUAACUGUGCACGUCUUGACGGUACCUAAUCAGAAAGCCACGGCUAACUACUUGCCAGCCGCCGCAGUAAAAC